CGGACGGGUGAGUAACGCGUGGGUAACCUGCCUCAUACAGGGGGAUAACGGUUAGAAAUGACUGCUAAUACCGCAUAAGCACACAGUACCGCAUGGUACGGUGUGAAAAACUCCGGUGGUAUGAGAUGGACCCGCGUCUGAUUAGCUAGUUGGUGAGGUAACGGCCCACCAAGGCGACGAUCAGUAGCCGACCUGAGAGGGUGACCGACCACAUUGGGACUGAGACACGGCCCAG
rnacentral:rRNA from 1 species